UUAAGCGACUAAGCGUACACGGUGGAUGCCCUGGCAGUCAGAGGCGAUGAAGGACGUGCUAAUCUGCGAUAAGCGUCGGUAAGGUGAUAUGAACCGUUAUAACCGGCGAUUUCCGAAUGGGGAAACCCAGUGUGUUUCGACACACUAUCAUUAACUGAAUCCAUAGGUUAAUGAGGCGAACCGGGGGAACUGAAACAUCUAAGUACCCCGAGGAAAAGAAAUCAACCGAGAUUCCCCCAGUAGCGGCGAGCGAACGGGGAGCAGCCCAGAGCCUGAAUCAGUGUGUGUGUUAGUGGAAGCGUCUGGAAAGGCGCGCGAUACAGGGUGACAGCCCCGUACACAAAAAUGCACAUGCUGUGAGCUCGAUGAGUAGGGCGGGACACGUGGUAUCCUGUCUGAAUAUGGGGGGACCAUCCUCCAAGGCUAAAUACUCCUGACUGACCGAUAGUGAACCAGUACCGUGAGGGAAAGGCGAAAAGAACCCCGGCGAGGGGAGUGAAAAAGAACCUGAAACCGUGUACGUACAAGCAGUGGGAGCACGCUUAGGCGUGUGACUGCGUACCUUUUGUAUAAUGGGUCAGCGACUUAUAUUCUGUAGCAAGGUUAACCGAAUAGGGGAGCCGAAGGGAAACCGAGUCUUAACUGGGCGUUAAGUUGCAGGGUAUAGACCCGAAACCCGGUGAUCUAGCCAUGGGCAGGUUGAAGGUUGGGUAACACUAACUGGAGGACCGAACCGACUAAUGUUGAAAAAUUAGCGGAUGACUUGUGGCUGGGGGUGAAAGGCCAAUCAAACCGGGAGAUAGCUGGUUCUCCCCGAAAGCUAUUUAGGUAGCGCCUCGUGAAUUCAUCUCCGGGGGUAGAGCACUGUUUCGGCAAGGGGGUCAUCCCGACUUACCAACCCGAUGCAAACUGCGAAUACCGGAGAAUGUUAUCACGGGAGACACACGGCGGGUGCUAACGUCCGUCGUGAAGAGGGAAACAACCCAGACCGCCAGCUAAGGUCCCAAAGUCAUGGUUAAGUGGGAAACGAUGUGGGAAGGCCCAGACAGCCAGGAUGUUGGCUUAGAAGCAGCCAUCAUUUAAAGAAAGCGUAAUAGCUCACUGGUCGAGUCGGCCUGCGCGGAAGAUGUAACGGGGCUAAACCAUGCACCGAAGCUGCGGCAGCGACGCUUAUGCGUUGUUGGGUAGGGGAGCGUUCUGUAAGCCUGCGAAGGUGUGCUGUGAGGCAUGCUGGAGGUAUCAGAAGUGCGAAUGCUGACAUAAGUAACGAUAAAGCGGGUGAAAAGCCCGCUCGCCGGAAGACCAAGGGUUCCUGUCCAACGUUAAUCGGGGCAGGGUGAGUCGACCCCUAAGGCGAGGCCGAAAGGCGUAGUCGAUGGGAAACAGGUUAAUAUUCCUGUACUUGGUGUUACUGCGAAGGGGGGACGGAGAAGGCUAUGUUGGCCGGGCGACGGUUGUCCCGGUUUAAGCGUGUAGGCUGGUUUUCCAGGCAAAUCCGGAAAAUCAAGGCUGAGGCGUGAUGACGAGGCACUACGGUGCUGAAGCAACAAAUGCCCUGCUUCCAGGAAAAGCCUCUAAGCAUCAGGUAACAUCAAAUCGUACCCCAAACCGACACAGGUGGUCAGGUAGAGAAUACCAAGGCGCUUGAGAGAACUCGGGUGAAGGAACUAGGCAAAAUGGUGCCGUAACUUCGGGAGAAGGCACGCUGAUAUGUAGGUGAAGUCCCUCGCGGAUGGAGCUGAAAUCAGUCGAAGAUACCAGCUGGCUGCAACUGUUUAUUAAAAACACAGCACUGUGCAAACACGAAAGUGGACGUAUACGGUGUGACGCCUGCCCGGUGCCGGAAGGUUAAUUGAUGGGGUCAGCGCAAGCGAAGCUCUUGAUCGAAGCCCCGGUAAACGGCGGCCGUAACUAUAACGGUCCUAAGGUAGCGAAAUUCCUUGUCGGGUAAGUUCCGACCUGCACGAAUGGCGUAAUGAUGGCCAGGCUGUCUCCACCCGAGACUCAGUGAAAUUGAACUCGCUGUGAAGAUGCAGUGUACCCGCGGCAAGACGGAAAGACCCCGUGAACCUUUACUAUAGCUUGACACUGAACAUUGAGCCUUGAUGUGUAGGAUAGGUGGGAGGCUUUGAAGUGUGGACGCCAGUCUGCAUGGAGCCGGCCUUGAAAUACCACCCUUUAAUGUUUGAUGUUCUAACGUUGACCCGUAAUCCGGGUUGCGGACAGUGUCUGGUGGGUAGUUUGACUGGGGCGGUCUCCUCCUAAAGAGUAACGGAGGAGCACGAAGGUUGGCUAAUCCUGGUCGGACAUCAGGAGGUUAGUGCAAUGGCAUAAGCCAGCUUGACUGCGAGCGUGACGGCGCGAGCAGGUGCGAAAGCAGGUCAUAGUGAUCCGGUGGUUCUGAAUGGAAGGGCCAUCGCUCAACGGAUAAAAGGUACUCCGGGGAUAACAGGCUGAUACCGCCCAAGAGUUCAUAUCGACGGCGGUGUUUGGCACCUCGAUGUCGGCUCAUCACAUCCUGGGGCUGAAGUAGGUCCCAAGGGUAUGGCUGUUCGCCAUUUAAAGUGGUACGCGAGCUGGGUUUAGAACGUCGUGAGACAGUUCGGUCCCUAUCUGCCGUGGGCGCUGGAGAACUGAGGGGGGCUGCUCCUAGUACGAGAGGACCGGAGUGGACGCAUCACUGGUGUUCGGGUUGUCAUGCCAAUGGCACUGCCCGGUAGCUAAAUGCGGAAGAGAUAAGUGCUGAAAGCAUCUAAGCACGAAACUUGCCCCGAGAUGAGUUCUCCCUGACUCCUUGAGAGUCCUGAAGGAACGUUGAAGACGACGACGUUGAUAGGCCGGGUGUGUAAGCGCAGCGAUGCGUUGAGCUAACCGGUACUAAUGAACCGUGAGGCUUAACCUU
rnacentral:rRNA from 1 species